rnacentral:lncRNA from 1 species
GAGUGCGAAUUAUCGAAUAUGUCUUCUUAAUCAAUUGCUACUUUGCUACUCGUUCUAAACCCUCACUUCCGCGAAGGAAAACAAACCGAUCGCCGAUACGAUUCCAAUGCAUAUCCAACAGCUACAUCUCAAGGCCGAAGAACUACAAUCUCGACCUUCCAGGUAUUCUUCCGUGAAUCGAAAUCACAUAAAUUUUCGGAAGUAAAGUGUCCAUCAUUUACUUGAUCUGUUACACAACACAUCGAUCUACAUUGUUUGAGAUAAUUUCUUAUAAUUACAACAUAACAUUUUAUAUCUUAAUAUACUGCAAGUCAUUGUAAGCCACUAAUCUCGAUUUUGCUUUGAACCGAAAAAAUCAAUUUUUGGUCCUUAAUUCAUUUUGAUUCAUGGUUUAUAACUCCUAAAUCUCAUUGACCCUAUAAAUGUUACUUAUCGAUACCAAAUUCAACCACAGCAGGCAUGACAAACUCCAGUGAAGCUUGAUAUCUGUCACAGAGAAACUAGAGUCAGGUCUACCCAUGGGAAGUACUAUCUUACAGGUAAAUGUCAAUAUUCUGAUCAUCAAUUAAUUGACUAUUAUCUUUGCUGAAUUUUUUGAGAUUCAUUGGUCUUCUAGCAUCCUGAUAAAGGUAGUAGGGAGCAUACUAGGUAACUUUUUAGUUUAUUUUUAUAUGUGAAUAAAAAGUAAGCUGAAUAGAAGUCUAGAAUAUAUAACUUUUAGUGUCAAAUAUAUGCCAUUCAAGUAUUCAACCAUGUGGUAGUCAUUAUUGGAAUCUAAAAAAGCUGUUACUUCCCUUUUUGGAUGCUCCUCAAGUCCAUAUAGGCCAGUGAUGUUUUGUCAGUAGAUAUGUCGAUAUUGCACUUAUGGUGCAUACUGUCUCCUUGAUUCCAGCCCUAGAGUUUUAACUGGAGUUUCAUCAAAAUCAUAAUGAAAUUUCCUGCAGUAAAUAGUAAUCUACUAUUCAAUCAAAGACAUAAAGUUCAUAUAAAGGUUUCCAUUUCACCAACAUUAUGUGGUUCAACUUCUCAAUCAUUAUUACUAUAAAGAUUCCAAUUCCACCUAUUUUUUGUUCAAGUUUUUCUUUUUUUCAGUGACAACUUUUUAAAGAUAACACACUAAUUAAUAUGCAAAUGACUAUAGAAUUAUGAUCCUUUUGGAAUUUCGAAAAUAGUACCAGUGAUGAAGCUCAAUUGUCUAUCCAUAAACUCAUGAAACUUGAUUCCAAUCCUUGUUAACUUGUAUAAAUGACUGAAAUACCCUUUCGAAACCUAUUAUUAACACUGCACUAUGCUG